rnacentral:rRNA from 1 species
UUCAAGCUAGUAAGAACCCUGAAAGAUGAUCAGGUUGAUAGGUCAGAGGUGGAAGCGUGGUAACAUGUGGAGCUGACUGAUACUAAUCGUUCGAGGACUUAACCAA